GUUAGAGCCUGGGUUACUGGACGGGCGCAGAGGCGGAGCGCGGAGGCAGCAGUUCCCCCGCUGGGGUGCUUGGGACUGCUCCUCUUCGGGGUGGAGGGCUCCCCUCCUUUGCCCUCUAUCCCGGGUCAUUGCUGGGUGGGGUUGCCAAACUGUAGACCCACGCCCUGCUCAGUUCAGGCCCGGGAGAGCUCAGAAGCUGCGGCUCCGCCCGCGAGGGGCAGAUGGGACACACCUGCUGGAUGGGAGCGAGCUCUUGAGGCUGAGUAAAGCUUUUGCAGGUGAGUGACGUAAGGAAGACUAAAGGAGGGUCAAGGCCGCCUGAUGUGGAGGUAAAGAGAUGAGAGAGAAAGACCUGAGGACCCCUCCACCCUUCCAGAAAAGAAUCUUCAAGCAAAACCAAAGCCAACCACAUCGAAGCUUGUAGAGUUAACUUCAUUAAUCAUAUUUCACAUUGAAAAUGUUUUGUUUUAUUUUGCACAAAGAUGUUCAUGGCAGCAUUAAUUAUAAUGGCAAAAGCUGGAAGCUCCCCAAAUGUCCUGCACUAGGGAAUGACUCGUAAUAGUCAAGACUCUUUCGGCAGUAAGUGACAGACACCCAGCUCAAACUAGCUUAUGCACAAUCGGGAGUUCAGUAGCUCAGGAAACUGGCAGUCCAAGGGGCUCAAAUGAUGUUGUCAGGCCCCCUCCAUCUCUUGGCUCCGCUUCCCACAGGUAUGGGGCUCAUUUUCUCCCACUAUUGACUAGUUUCCUCCACUGUGGGGGAAGGGAGGCCAAGACACAGAUUGCUCCACUCUUUAUUCCUGCUAUGUGGCCUUGGAGGAAGGGGGAAGCAGCUCUGAAGGAGGCUGCUCUGAUUUGGGUGACUUCUCAUUCCCGGGCCAGUCUCUGUGGCCAGAGGAAUGGGAUACCGUGGUUGACCAAACCUGGUCAGGUGGCCAGGAGGAGGCUCUUGUGGUUGGCUGUCCCACUGGAACCAUAUGGAGUCGGGUAGGGGAUGAAGAAUUUCCUAGAAGACUUUUACUGCUGGUAUCAAGAUGGCAAAAUCCAGCUGAUGCAAUAUUAUAUUCCAGGAAAAGGUAUAGUUACAAAGACCAUGUAGCAACAUGAAAUACGGUUAUAAAGCAACGCUACGAGAAAAAGGCGGAAUAUGGACUUGAAACUGUGACGGCACCUUUGGAAUACAGAAAAAUAGAAACCUUUUGCUCUGUGGGGUUGCUGGGAAGAUGAAUCAUUACAUUAAAA
rnacentral:lncRNA from 1 species